GUAUUCUUUAAUUAUUUC
rnacentral:misc_RNA from 1 species